GACGAACGCUGGCGGCGUGCCUAAUACAUGCAAGUAGAACGCUGAAGGAGGAGCUUGCUUCUCCGGAUGAGUUGCGAACGGGUGAGUAACGCGUAGGUAACCUGCCUGGUAGCGGGGGAUAACUAUUGGAAACGAUAGCUAAUACCGCAUAAGAGUAGAUGUCGCAUGACAUUUGCUUAAAAGGUGCAACUGCACCACUACCAGAUGGACCUGCGUUGUAUUAGCUAGUUGGUGAGGUAACGGCUCACCAAGGCAACGAUACAUAGCCGACCUGAGAGGGUGAUCGGCCACACUGGGACUGCGACACGGCCCAGACUCCUACGGGAGGCAGCAGUAGGGAAUCUUCGGCAAUGGACGGAAGUCUGACCGAGCAACGCCGCGGGAGUGCAGAAGGUUUUCGGAUCGUAAAGCUCUGUUGUAAGAGAAGAACGAGUGUGAGAGUGGAAAGUUCACACUGUGACGGUAUCUUACCAGAAAGGGACGGCUAACUACGUG
rnacentral:rRNA from 1 species